rnacentral:rRNA from 1 species
UUUGAUGGCGACCGGCGCACGGGUGAGUAACACGUAUCCAACCUGCCGAUGACUCGGGGAUAGCCUUUCGAAAGAAAGAUUAAUACCCGAUGGCAUAGUUCUUCCGCAUGGUAGAACUAUUAAAGAAUUUCGGUCAUCGAUGGGGAUGCGUUCCAUUAGGUUGUUGGCGGGGUAACGGCCCACCAAGCCUUCGAUGGAUAGGGGUUCUGAGAGGAAGGUCCCCCACAUUGGAACUGAGCACGGUCCAA